rnacentral:rRNA from 1 species
UACGAAGGGGGCUAGCGUUGUUCGGAUUUACUGGGCGUAAAGGGCGCGUAGGCGGUCGUGACAAGUCACUUGUGAAAUCUCCGGGCUUAACUCGGAACGGUCAAGUGAUACUGUCGGACUAGAGUACAGAAGGGGCAACUGGAAUUCUCGGUGUAGCGGUGAAAUGCGUAGAUAUCGAGAGGAACACCUGCGGCGAAGGCGGGUUGCUGGGCUGAUACUGACGCUGAGGCGCGAAAGCCAGGGGAGCAAACGGG